UUACAUUUAGUCAUCCUCCAAAUACAUGAUUAUUUACACUUUUCAUACCUAAAUCAACGGAAUAAAGUUGAUACAUGUAUAACAAAAGGGAAUGACUACAAAAUGUAUAAAGUCCCGGUGGCCGCUACCUACGGCGCCAAACCCUUGCCUCGGUCCUCCGCCGCCCCGCUCGUACUAGGACCUGUAGGGUUAGUGGUGUGAGAACUACAACGAAGUUCCCAGUGGGCUCGGCAUCCGACCUCGCCGACUUACCCACUAGGUCCAUCCAGGCAUAAGUAUUUCAAAAGAAGAAAAGUAACCAUUACUAAUGCAACUAAUACUAUGCCUGCAAGAAAGAAGUCAGUAGAUAUACAAUUUC
rnacentral:lncRNA from 1 species